UGGGCUUGAACUGGUACUGCAAUGCUGUGAAAGCAGCUAUUCCUUCGGGACGGUAUUAGAGGUGCUGCAUGGCUGUCGUCAGCUCGUGUCGUGAGAUGUUGGGUUAAGUCCCGCAACGAGCGUAACCCUUACUCUUAGUUGCCAGCACGUCAUGGUGGGAACUCUAAGGGGACUGCCCCGGCUAACGGGGAGGAAGGUGGGGACGACGUCAAGUCCUCAUGGCCCUUACGUCCAGGGCUACACACGUGCUACAAUGGCCGGUACAACGGGCAGCUAGACAGCGAUGUUUUGCGAAUCCCUUAAAACCGGUCUCAGUUCGGAUUGCAGUCUGCAACUCGACUGCAUGAAGU
rnacentral:rRNA from 1 species